rnacentral:lncRNA from 1 species
AUAUGCAAGAUAUCAACUCCCCCAAACUUGUUCCUUUACUUGUCCACAAGUGAACUUUCUAGAACUCAUAGGGAGAGAGGUUUGAAGGUCUCAUAGCCAAAAGAAACACAUCUAGCACUCAAUUCAACAUCUAAAUCCAACAUGAGCACACUCUCUUAUUAUACUCUAGUUUCUCUAGGCCUAUCUCAACUCUUUUUGCCCUUACAAUCAUCAUCAAGCAUCCACACAUUCAAAUCAACCAACUCUCACAUUCAUUAAGUAAUAAACAUCAGGUGAAUUCUUGCAAAUGGUCAAUUGGUCCAAAUCAUUUGGUUGGGUAAGGGAAGACUUUUUAUUCAAGUGAGUCAAGAGGUUCAAGAUACAUGAUCUUUAAGGUGGUUUACUCUCAAGACAAGUAGCCUUGACAUCGCACAUAAUAUAUCUAAGAAAGGGAUCAACUCAUGCAUACAAUGCUCAAUCUCCAUUGUUCUACCAUUUUCCCAAACAUACAAGUUACACAAUCAUUUCCCAAUGUCAAACCCAA